rnacentral:rRNA from 1 species
GAUGAACGCUGGCGGCGUGCCUAAUACAUGCAAGUCGAGCGAACAGACGAGGAGCUUCCUCGGCUGACGAUAGCGGCAGACGGGUGAGUAACACGUGGAUAACCUACCUAUAAGAGUGGGAUAACUGGGGGAAACGGGAGCUAAUCGCUGAUAAUAUAUUUAACCGCGUGGUUCACUAGUGAAAGACGGUUGUGCUGUCACUUAUAGAUCGAUCCGCUCCGCAUUAGCUAGUUGGUAAGGUAACGGGUUACCAAGGCAACGAUGCGUGGCCGGCCGGAGAGGGUGAUCCGCCCCAAGGGCACUGAGACACGCACUGGAAUACUAAGAGAGGCAGCAGUAGGGAAUGUGACGGAAUGGGCGAAAACUGGACGAAGCGACGCAGCGUGAGUGAUGAAGGUCUUCGGAUCGUAAAACUCUGUUAUUAGGGAAGAACCAAUGUGUAAGUAACUAGGGACGUUUUGACGGUACCUAAACAGAAAGCCCCGGCUAACUACGUG